UACGUAGGGUGCAAGCGUUAAUCGGAAUUACUGGGCGUAAAGGGUGCGUAGGCGGUUCGUUAUGUCUGCUGUGAAAGCCCCGGGCUUAACCUGGGAAUGGCAGUGGAAACUGGCGGGCUUGAGUGUGGCAGAGGGGGGUGGAAUUCCGCGUGUAGCAGUGAAAUGCGUAGAGAUGCGGAGGAACACCGAUGGCGAAGGCAGCCCCCUGGGCUAACACUGACGCUGAGGCACGAAAGCGUGGGGAG
rnacentral:rRNA from 1 species